rnacentral:tRNA from 1 species
GGUUCCAUAGUAUAAUGGCUAGUACACACGACUGUUAAUCGUGGAAUGAUGGUUCGAUUCCAUCUGGAACUG